AUUGAACGCUGGCGGUAGGCCUAACACAUGCAAGUCGAACGGUAACAGGAAGCAGCUUGCUGCUUCGCUGACGAGUGGCGGACGGGUGAGUAAUGUCUGGGAAACUGCCUGAUGGAGGGGGAUAACUACUGGAAACGGUAGCUAAUACCGCAUAACGUCGCAAGACCAAAGAGGGGGACCUUAGGGCCUCUUGCCAUCGGAUGUGCCCAGAUGGGAUUAGCUAGUAGGUGGGGUAACGGCUCACCUAGGCGACGAUCCCUAGCUGGUCUGAGAGGAUGACCAGCCACACUGGAACUGAGACACGGUCCAGACUCCUACGGGAGGCAGCAGUGGGGAAUAUUGCACAAUGGGCGCAAGCCUGAUGCAGCCAUGCCGCGUGUAUGAAGAAGGCCUUCGGGUUGUAAAGUACUUUCAGCGGGGAGGAAGGGAGUAAAGUUAAUACCUUUGCUCAUUGACGUUACCCGCAGAAGAAGCACCGGCUAACUCCGUG
rnacentral:rRNA from 1 species